rnacentral:miRNA from 1 species
CUUACCCUGUUAAUCGGAGAAGU